UACGUAGGGUGCGAGCGUUGUCCGGAAUUAUUGGGCGUAAAGGGCUCGUAGGCGGUUUGUCGCGUCGGGAGUGAAAAUCCAGGGCUUAACUCUGGACUGGCUUCCGAUACGGGCAGACUAGAGGUAUGCAGGGGAGAACGGAAUUCCUGGUGUAGCGGUGAAAUGCGCAGAUAUCAGGAGGAACACCGGUGGCGAAGGCGGUCUCUGGGCCAUUACCUGACGCUGAGGAGC
rnacentral:rRNA from 1 species